rnacentral:rRNA from 1 species
CCUACGGGUGGCAGCAGUGAGGAAUAUUGGUCAAUGGACGCGAGUCUGAACCAGCCAAGUAGCGUGAAGGAUGACUGCCCUAUGGGUUGUAAACUUCUUUUAUAAAGGAAUAAAGUGUUCCACGUGUGGCUUUUUGUAUGUACUUAAUGAAUAAGGAUCGGCUAACUCCGUGCCAGCAGCCGCGGUAAUACGGAGGAUCCGAGCGUUAUCCGGAUUUAUUGGGUUUAAAGGGAGCGUAGGUGGGUUGUUAAGUCAGUUGUGAAAGUUUGCGGCUCAACCGUAAAAUUGCAGUUGAAACUGGCAGUCUUGAGUACAGUAGAGGUAGGCGGAAUUCGUGGUGUAGCGGUGAAAUGCUUAGAUAUCACGAAGAACUCCGAUUGCGAAGGCAGCUUACUGGACUGCAACUGACACUGAGGCUCGAAAGUGUGGGUAUCAAACAGGAUUAGAUACCCGGGUAGUC